GACGAACGCUGGCGGCGUGCUUAACACAUGCAGGUCGAACGCUGAAGCUCAGCUUGCUGGGUGGAUGAGUGGCGAACGGGUGAGUAACACGUGAGUAACCUGCCCUCUUCUUUGGGAUAACGCCCGGAAACGGGUGCUAAUACUGGAUAUUCACUGAUUCUCGCAUGGGGGUUGGUGGAAAGGUUUUUUCUGGUGGGGGAUGGGCUCGCGGCCUAUCAGCUUGUUGGUGGGGUGAUGGCCUACCAAGGCUUUGACGGGUAGCCGGCCUGAGAGGGUGACCGGUCACAUUGGGACUGAGAUACGGCCCAGACUCCUACGGGAGGCAGCAGUGGGGAAUAUUGCACAAUGGGCGAAAGCCUGAUGCAGCGACGCCGCGUGAGGGAUGGAGGCCUUCGGGUUGUAAACCUCUUUCGCUCAUGGUCAAGCCGCAGCUUUGGGUUGUGGUGAGGGUAGUGGGUAAAGAAGCGCCGGCUAACUACGUG
rnacentral:rRNA from 1 species